rnacentral:rRNA from 1 species
UACGUAGGGAGCAAGCGUUGUCCGGAUUUACUGGGUGUAAAGGGUGCGCAGGCGGGUUAGUAAGUCAGGGGUGAAAUCUCACGGCUUAACCGUGAAAUUGCCUUUGAUACUGCUAAUCUUGAGUUCGGGAGAGGUUGAUGGAAUUCCAGGUGUAGCGGUGAAAUGCGUAGAUAUCUGGAAGAACACCAGUAGCGAAGGCGGUCAACUGGCCCGUAACUGACGCUCAGGCACGAAAGCGUGGGGAGCGAAC